rfam:Gallus gallus breed Red Jungle fowl, inbred line TCD001 Contig18629.1, whole genome shotgun sequence. [11-NOV-2016]
CGACCUCAGGUCAGACGUGGCGACCCGCUGAAUUUAAGCAUAUUAGUCAGCGGAGGAAAAGAAACUAACGAGGAUUCCCUCAGUAACGGCGAGUGAAGAGGGAAGAGCCCAGCGCCGAAUCCCCGCCCCGCGGUGGGGGCGGGAGGUGUGGCGUACGGAAGCCCCCAUCCCCGGCGCCGCUCUCGGGGGGCCCAAGUCCUUCUGAUCGAGGCCCAGCCCGCGGACGGUGUGAGCGGUACGGCCCCCGGCGCGCCGGGCCCGGGGCUUCUCGAGUCGGGUUGCUUGGGAAUGCAGCCCAAAGCGGGUGGUAAACUCCAUCUAAGGCUAAAUACCGGCACGAGACCGAUAGCCAACAAGUACCGUAAGGGAAAGUUGAAAAGAACUUUGAAGAGAGAGUUCAAGAGGGCGUGAAACCGUUAAGAGGUAAACGGGUGGGGUCCGCGCAGUCGCCCGGAGGAUUCAACCCGGCGGGCCAAGGUCGGCCGGCGCGGGCGCCGUCGGAUCCCCGCCUCCGCCUCCCCUCCGUCCCUCCCCUUCGCCGGGGCGGGGCGGGCCCAGGGGGGGCGGGCGGGCCGGGGACCGCCGCCCGGCCGGCGUCCGGCCCCCGUCGGGCGCAUUUCCUCCGCGGCGGUGCGCCGCGACCGGCUCCGGGACGGCUGGGAACUCCCGCAGUGCCCCCGCGCGAGAUCCCGGUGUCGCGCCUUGAACGGGGGAGGGGAGGACCGCGGCGCGCCCUCCCCGGAGGGCGGGCCCCCGGAGGGCCCCCGCGGCCGACCGGCGUCGGGCCGCCCGCGCCGCGCGCCGUCCGCGCCGCCGCCGUACGCCGCCGCUCGCUCUCUCUCCGUUCCCCGCCCCGGGUCCGUCCGGGGGCGGGGGGCGGGGGGUCGGGUGUCCGGCGCGGGCUCGGCGCGGCGCCGCGGCGUGUGGCGCGCGCCUCCAGCCGGGCGCGGCGAGGCCCGGGGGCGCCGGGGGGGAACCUUCCCCCUUCUGUUCGGGCCGCCUCCGUCCCGCGGGGGCGGCCGUUCGGGGGACGGGCCGCCGGCCCCCGGCGCCGCUGUCCGACCGGGGCGGACUGCGCUCAGUGCGCCCCGAACCGCGCGGCGCCCGCCGGGCCGGGCUCGGGCCACGCCAGGGCGCCCGGGGUCCGCGGCGACGUCGGCUACCCACCCGACCCGUCUUGAAACACGGACCAAGGAGUCUAGCACGCGCGCGAGUCGGCGGCUCGCGCGAAAGCCCGCGGCGCAAUGAAGUGAGGGCCGGCGCGCGCCGGCUGAGGUGGAUCCCGGGGCGGCAGGCCGGAAGGCCCCGGGCGCACCACCGGCCGUCUCGCCGCCUCGCCAGGUGGAGCAUGAGCGCGCGUGCUAGGACCCGAAAGAUGGUGAACUAUGCCUGGGCAGGGGACAAGCCAGAGGAAACUCUGGUGGAGGUCCCGUAGCGGUCCUGACGGGCAAAUCGGUCGUCCGACCCGGGUAUAGGGCGAAAGACUAAUCGAACCAUCUAGUAGCUGGUUCCUCCCGAAGUUUCCCUCAGGAUAGCUGGCGCUCGGGGGGCGGGUGCAGUUUUACCCGGUAAAGCGAAUGAAUUAGAGGUUUGGGGCCGAAACGAUCUCAACCUAUUCUCAAACUUUCAAUGGGUAAGACGCCCGGCUCGCUGGCGUGGAGCCCGGGCCGUGGAAUGCGAGCGCUCAGUGGGCCACUUUUGGGUAAGCAGAACUGGCGCUGCGGGAUGAACCCGAACGCCGGUUAAGGCGCCCCGAUGCCGACGCUCAUCAGAGCCCCAGAAAAAGGUGUUGGUUGAUCUAGACAGCAGGACGGUGGCCAUGAAGUCGGAAACCCGCUAAGGAGUUGGUAACAACUCACCUGCCGAUCAACUAGCCCUGAAAAUGGAUGGCGCUGGAGGCGUCGGGCCCAUACCCCGGCCGUCGCCGGCGGUGGCGGAGCCGCGGGGGCUACGCCGCGACGAGUAGGAGGGCCGCUGCGGUGCGGCCUGGAAGCCUGGGGCCGCGGGCCCGGGUGGAGCCGCCGCAGGUGCAGAUCUCUGGUGGUAGUAGCCAACUAUUCAAACCGAGAGAGCUUUGAAAGGCCGAAGUGGAGCAGGGUUCCAUGUGAACAGCAGUUGAACAUGGGUCAGUCGGCCCUAAGCGAUAGGCGAGCGGCGUUCGAAGGGACGGGCGAUGGCUCCGUGCCUCAGCCGAUCGAAAGGGAGUCGGGUUCAGAUCCCGAUCGGACGGCGAGACGGGCGCCGCGAGGCGCCCAGUGCGGUAGGCAAGCGAUCCCGGAGAAGGCCGCGGGAGCCCGGGGAGAGUUCUCUUUUCUUUGGAAGGGCCGGGGGCGCUGGAACGGUUCGCCCCGAGAGAGGGGCCCGCGCCUGGAAAGCGUCGCGGUCCCGGCGGCGUCCGGGGGCUCCGCUGGCCGUGAAAAUCCGGGGGAGGGGUGCUAAAUCCGCGCCCGGGCCCGUACCGCAUUCCGCAGCCAGGUCUCCAAGGUGAACAGCCCUGCUG